AUAAGCUGCUAAGGGCGCACGGUGGAUGCCUUGGCGCCAGGAGCCGAUGAAGGACGGGGCGAACGCCGAAACUGCCUCGGGGAGCCGUAAGCAGGCCGCGAUCCGGGGAUGUCCGAAUGGGGGAACCCAGCCGUCGUAAUGGGCGGCUAUCCGGCGGUGAAUCCAUAGCCGCCGGAGGGCACACCAGGGGAACUGAAACAUCUAAGUACCCUGAGGAGAAGAAAACAACCGUGAUUCCGUCAGUAGCGGCGAGCGAACGCGGAGGAGCCCAAACCGGGAGGCUUGCCUUCCGGGGUUGUGGGACGUCCCAUACGGAGUGACAAAAGAGCAUUCUAGGCGAAGAGGUCUGGAAAGGCCCGCCACAGGAGGUAACAGCCCUGUAGCCGAAAGGGUGCUCUCUCCGGGACGGAUCCCGAGUACCGCGGGGCACGUGAAACCCCGCGGGAAGCAGGCAGGACCAUCUGCCAAGGCUAAAUACUCCCUGGCGACCGAUAGCGAACCAGUACCGUGAGGGAAAGGUGAAAAGAACCGCGGGAGCGGAGUGAAAGAGAACCUGAAACCGUGCGCUUACAAGAAGUCAGAGCCCUUUUCAUGGGUGAUGGCGUGCCUUUUGUAGAAUGAACCGGCGAGUUGCGUUUGCGUGCGAGGUUAAGGCGAAGAGCCGGAGCCGCAGCGAAAGCGAGUCUGAAGAGGGCGUGUUCAGUACGCAGGCGCAGACCCGAAACCGUGUGAUCUACCCCUGUCCAGGGUGAAGGCCAGGUAAAACUGGCUGGAGGCCCGAACCGGUGAGCGUGAAAAGCUCUGGGAUGAGACGGGGGUAGGGGUGAAAUGCCAAUCGAACACGGAGAUAGCUGGUUCUCCCCGAAAUAGCUUUAGGGCUAGCCUCGGGUGAAGGCUUUGCGGAGGUAGAGCACUGAAAGGAUGCGGGGCCCGCAAGGGUUACCAAGUUCUAUCAAACUCCGAAUGCCGUAAAAGCUUAUGCCCGGGAGUCAGACGGUGAGCGCUAAGGUCCAUCGUCGAGAGGGGAACAGCCCGGAUCAUCGGCUAAGGUCCCCAAGUGUGUGUUAAGUGGGGAAGGAUGUGGCGCUGCGAAGACAACCAGGAUGUUGGCUUAGAAGCAGCCAUCAUUCAAAGAGUGCGUAAUAGCUCACUGGUCGAGUGGCGCUGCGCCGAAAAUUCAACGGGGCUAAACACACCACCGAAGCCAUGGCUUGUAUCCGUUGGAUACAGGGGUAGGGGAGCGUUGUAUGCGGGGUGAAGCCGUACCGGAAGGAGCGGUGGACCGCAUACAAGUGAGAAUGCCGGUAUGAGUAACGAAAAGACAGGUGAGAAUCCUGUUCGCCGAAAGCCUAAGGUUUCCUGAGGAAGGUUCGUCCGCUCAGGGUAAGUCGGGACCUAAGGCGAGGCCGAAAGGCGUAGUCGAAAGGGCAACAGGUUGAAAUUCCUGUACCACCUAUGCGGCGUCAUGAGCGAUGGGGGGACGCAGGAGGGCAGGGACGCAGGCGGAUGGAAGAGCCUGUCCAAGCAGCGAGAGGGGUGCACAGGCAAAUCCGUGCACCGGUAACCUUGAGCUGUGACGGGGAGGGGAAAUUCAAGUACCCGAAGGUCCUGGGCUCCCACUGCCAAGAAAAGCCUCUAGCCAGCCGCAGGGUGCCCGUACCGCAAACCGACACAGGCAGGCGGGAAGAGAAUUCCAAGGCGCGCGGAAGAACUCUCGUCAAGGAACUCGGCAAAAUGACCCCGUAACUUCGGGAGAAGGGGUGCCCCGGUAGGGUGCAAAGCCCGAGGGGGCCGCAGUGAAGAGGCCCAAGCGACUGUUUAGCACAAACACAGGUCUGUGCGAAGCCGCAAGGCGACGUAUACGGGCUGACGCCUGCCCGGUGCUGGAAGGUUAAGGGGAAGGGUUAGCCUUUAAGGCGAAGCUUUGAACCGAAGCCCCAGUAAACGGCGGCCGUAACUAUAACGGUCCUAAGGUAGCGAAAUUCCUUGUCGGGUAAAUUCC
rnacentral:rRNA from 1 species